UGUACUCUAUUUGCAGCCUUUUUAUCAAUCUCCGUGGAGCCAAAACAUUCUUUUGGAUAAACUCCCCCUGUUCCCUCUCCUCUCCUUGUCCUCGUUCGUACCCUCACUCUCUAUCCCCUUACUCCCUCCCUCCCUCCAUCUGCCUCACUCUCUCUUUCUCCUUCUGUCAGUCAUUGAGUCAUGAUGGCGGAGCGGACGGUGCCUCAUGCAUAUCCCAUGAGUACUCAGUGUGAACUGAACUCUCCCAGAAGGAUCUACGACCAGAACUUUGGAGAGGGGAACCCCGCUCCUCAGAAGGACUGUGUGUAUAAAUAGAACGUCCAGCUGAACAGGGUUCCAUAAUAACCUAUGGCAGCCUGGAACACACACGCAGGGCUGUAAAGCCUGCAUAGAGACUGGGUAUGGAAAAACAUGUCUGAUUAGAGGAGAGGCAGAAAAAUAACAGGGCUCUUACCCCCAGGACCUCCUCACCCCCACCCUGUACCAUGGUUACUAUGUCCGUCCACGAAUCACCAAGCAGCUAGGGCGGGGCUUCUCUGAUAUAGAGGCGGAGCCAGGGAAGUGGACCGUUCGAUUGGAUGUGUGUCAGUUCACUCCUGAUGAAGUCACCGUUCGCACUGUCGACAACCUACUGGAGGUCAGUGGUAACCACUCCCAGAGACAAGAUGUCCACGGGUUCAUCAGUCGGUCGUUUACGAGGACCUACAUACUUCCUGUGGGUGUCGACCCUCUACUGCUCUUCGUCGACCUAUCACACGACGGCAUCCUCUCUGUCUCCGCUCCCCGGACAACCCCCGACCCGCCCUCCGCACACACGCAUAUCAUACACACACACACCGACAAGACAACCUAGUGACGACACACAGACACAACCAAAAUACGACCUAGUGUCCUCUGUCAUGGAUCAACCCCAAUUCCCCCUAGGAUCAACCCCAACACCCUCUAGGAUCAACCUCAACACCCUCUAGGAUCAACCCCAAUACCCCCUAGUGUUCUCUGUCAUGGAUCAGCCCCAACAUCCUCUAGGAUCAACCCCAAUACCCCCUAGUGUCCUCUGUCAAGGAUCAACCCCAAUACCCUGUAGUGUCCUCUGUCAUGGAUCAACCCCAACACCCUCUAGGAUCAACCCCAAUACCCUCUAGUGUCCUCUGUCAUGGAUCAAUCCCAACACCCUCUAGGAUCAACCCCAAUACCCUCUAGUGUCCUCUGUCAUGGAUCAACCCCAACACCCUCUAGGAUCAACCCCAAUACCCUCUAGUGUCCUCUGUCAUGGAUCAAUCCCAACACCCUCUAGGAUCAACCCCAAUACCCUCUAGUGUCCUCUGUCAUGGAUCAACCCCAAUACCCUCUAGUGUCCUCUGUCAUGGAUCAACCCCAAUACCCUCUAGUGUCCUCUGUCAUGGAUCAACCCCAACACCCUCUAGGAUCAACCUCAAUACCCCUAGUGUCCUCUGUCAUGGAUCAACCUCAAUACCCCCUAGUGUCCUCUGUCAUGGAUCAACCUCAAUACCCCCUAGUGUCCUCUGUCAUGGAUCAACCCCAACACCCUCUAUGAUCAACCUCAAUACCCUCUGGUGUCCUCUGUCAUGGAUCAACCCCAACACCCUCUAGGAUCAACCCCAAUACCCCCUAGUGUCCUCUGUCAUGGAUCAACCCCAAUACCACCUGGAAUGAGAUAUAUGGAACGCAGACUGUGGGACAUAGAGCAAGGAAUGAAGACCGUGGGGGAAAGCAGAAGGAACAGAGACUGUGGGGGUUAGUAGACUGUGGGGGAUAGGAGACUGUGGCGGAUAGAACAAGGACCAUAGACCAUGGGGGAUAGAACAAGGACCGUAGACCAUGGGGGAUACUAGAAGGAACGUAGACCGUGGGAGACAGUAGAAGGAAGGUAGACCGUGGGGAACAGUACAAGGAACGUAGACUGUAGGUGAUAGAAGACUGUGGGGGAUAGCAGACUGUAGGGGAUAGCAGACUGUAGGUGAUAGCAGACUGUAGGGGAUUGCAGACUGUGGGGGAUAGCAGACUGUAGGUGAUAGCAGACUGUAGGUGAUAGCAGACAAUAGGGGAUAGCAGACUGUGGGGGAUAGCAGAUUGUAGGGGAUAGCAGACUGUGGGGAUAGCAGACUGAGGGGGAGCAGACUGUAGGGGAUAGCAGACUUUAGGGGAUAGCAGACUGUACGGGAUAGCAGACUAUAGGGGAUAGCAGACUGUAGGGGAUAGCAGACUGUAGGGGAUAGCAGACUGUAGGGGAUAGCAGACUGUAGGGGAUAGCAGACUGUAGGGGAUAGCAGACUGUAGGGGAUAGCAGACUGUGGGUCAUAAGUCGCCAUCAUUGGUGCCCAUUCAGCGAUGCUGAUCUAACAUGGUGGAUAUUAAUCAAGUCCGUCAUGAUUGAUGUGUUCUAUCAGGCCCACAAUGUGGUUACUACAAUCCCAUUGAUGUGUUCUAUCAGGCCCACAAUGUGGUUACUACAAUACCAUUGAUGUGUUCUAUCAGGCCCACAAUGUGGUUACUAUAAUCCCAUUGAUGUGUUCUAUCAGGCCCAAAAUGUGGUUACUACAAUCCCAUUGAUGUGUUCUAUCAGGCCCACAAUGUGGUUACUACAAUCCCAUUGAUGUGUUCUAUCAGGCCCACAAUGUGGUUACUACAAUCCCAUUGAUGUGUUCUAUCAGGCCCACAAUGUGGUUACUACAAUCCCAUUGAUGUGUUCUAUCAGGCCCACAAUGUGGUUACUACAAUACCAUUGAUGUGUUCUAUCAGGCCCACAAUGUGGUUACUAUAAUCCCAUUGAUGUGUUCUAUCAGGCCCAAAAUGUGGUUACUACAAUCCCAUUGAUGUGUUCUAUCAGGCCCACAAUGUGGUUACUACAAUCCCAUUGAUGUGUUCUAUCAGGCCCACAAUGUGGUUACUACAAUCCCAUUGAUGUGUUCUAUCAGGCCCACAAUGUGGUUACUACAAUCCCAUUGAUGUGUUCUAUCAGGCCCACAAUGUGGUUUCUACAAUCCCAUUGAUGUGUUCUAUCAGGCCCACAAUGUGGUUUCUACAAUCCCAUUGAUGUGUUCUAUCAGGCCCACAAUGUGGUUACUACAAUCCCAUUGAUGUGUUCUAUCAGGCCCACAAUGUGGUUUCUACAAUCCCAUUGAUGUGUUCUAUCAGGCCCACAAUGUGGUUACUACAAUCCCAUUUGGAUAUAUUUGUCUGUUUUCGCUGCAUCAUAUUUAGACAUUUCUGAAGAUUUAUGUUGUUGCUUAGUGAUUCUCUAGUUUACAAUAAAAUAUACCUAUUGUUUUUGUAAUAAACAAUAGUGUUGUUUCUUAAACUAGAAUAUAGUCUAAUGAUCUCCAUAGAUCAUAAAUAAAUGAAUAAAUAAGGAUUGAGUUCUGGAAUUGAAUGGUUUAUUAACCGGAACUCACACAUGCUACUGUUUGGUCUUAGCCUCCACCAAAUUAUUCCCAAUUCAACACUCUGUUAAGAUGUGAAAGAGGCAGAACAAUGCAAACAUGGCAACACAUCAAACCUGUAGUGCCCAGCACCCUCCCCAGCCGUCCGGCCGUUGCACCAACCCAAGGAUGCCAGGCGCCGAAAAACAUUUCCUUCCUUUGAUUGGCUGACAGAAUAUCAGAACACAGGCACAUAACUGUCCAAGCGGGUUGCUAGUCAAUACAAUUGUUUUGUGAUCUUUUUAGAUUGGUUCUGUGAAUAAUAAAAGUCAAGUUUAAAGACUAA